rnacentral:lncRNA from 11 species
AUGUUCCAGAUAGAAAGAAGCGAUAAGGGAGCGCCGCGCAUGCGCAUACAGUGCCAAGAGUUGGAAUUUUCCACUCCGGCCGCCGCGGCUUCCCCAACGGUUGCGGCGCGCGCUCCCUCCCCACUCCCGUCCCCUCCCGCCCGAACGGGGUCACGUGGGAGGUUUCGUCACCUCUGUUCAAUUGUGGAGGCAAUUGUUUCAAGAGGCCCCACCAGGCGCCCAGUGUUUUGUUUACACAGGGAGGGCCACGCCUUUUCCAAUUUCCGGUGGAAAUCAUGGAGAUUCUUUUUCCCGACCUUCCCAUUUCUUCUUGAUAACAUCAUCCAUUGUAAAACUAUGGCACUUCUGGAAUGAGGUAUGUUAUGCAAGGGCACACCUUAACGUGGACUGAAAGCAGCUUGAAAAUGUUGGUGGUUAAAUGGCGCAUGGUGAGAAUGCACGCAACAAUGCGAAUGAAGGACUUUAAACCAGGAUAAGCAAAAUCGGAUACUCCAUAAGAUAGCCAGUAAUGUGCAAAAGUGUGCUUAGGUGUAAAGCACAUUGCAUAAACCAACUAAGGUGCUCCAACGCUCAACACAUUCUCAUUAAAGCAAGGGAGUUGUAAAAAAAAUCAUGCACAGCCAUGAAACUGUGGAUAUUGUCGAUGCUGGAACUAGUUCAGAGCUGACCUCUACUCAGCUUUUAAUCCAGUUUCUGCACUUCAUGUAUAAUUUUUCCCAUAUUGAAAUACAGUGUUCCCUCAUCGCGGGGGUUGCGUUCCAGGAUCACCCGCAAUAAGUGAAAAUCCGCGAAGUAGGGACACUAUAUUUAUUUUAAUAUUUAUAUAUUAUUUUAGUAGUUACACACUAUUUUAAGUCUUUAUUAACCAAUUGUGUGUUGAUAAAUCGCCUCCUUCUCCUCCCGUUGCCGCUUUGGCUCCUUUUCUCUCCCUUCAGCUUCUCCUUCCUUAGGCUGUAAAUUGUAAAUUUGUAUGAUUUAUAAUAUUCUUUUAGAGUUUAUUGAAAAACCGCAAAAUGGUGAAUCAAAAAAGUGAACCGUGAAGUAGUGAGGGAACACUGUAGUUUUCUUCUCUACUGGCUUCACUCAGCU